rnacentral:lncRNA from 1 species
GCAGAUGGUCCCAAGGUCCCCAGAGGACUCUCCAUGCUGCAGGUGCCCUAACACACCCAGGAUCUUAGGAUCACUGAGGAGAGUCGGCCUCUAGAGAGGGCUCUGACCCUGGAACGCAGGUGAGAGCACCCAGGUCUCUCACAGACCAGUCUGCGCAGGAGAGCAAGUGGGCUUCAGAAGCAACAGAGCUUCUUGGACACGGUUCCUUCAGGCCUUCAUCCUCAGCCAGGAGGCGAAGCUGAGACUCAGACCUCUGGGUACCUUCCCUGUCAGAGGAGAGUCCACAUCCAGGAAGGGCUUUAACUCCAGGACUCAGGUGAGAGCGCCAUCUUGUAUCCCAGGUCUCUCAGAGACCAGUCUGAACAGGAGAACUUGUGGGCUGCAGAAGCAACAGAACUUAUUGGACAGGGUCCAUUCGGGACUUCAGUGAAGAGGUGGAUCUGAGCUCCAGACCUCUGCGCACCUUCCCUGCAAGAGGAGAGCUUGCCUGCAGAGAGUGUUCUGAUCACUGGGACUCAGGAGAGAGUUGGACUCCCAGGAGUGCUGACAGAGGCUAACAGAAUCACAGGAGAAACAAGCUCCAGCCAGAGAUUACCAGAUGACGAAAGGCAAAUGUCAGUCAAGGCCUCACACUCUGAUUUCAGCAAGAGUCCAGCCUCGCCUCCUGCAAGCUCCAGUGGCAGAAAUUUUAUGCCUCAGCCCAGCUAUUUUUAUUAUAUAAUCACGGAGGAAUUGUAGACUCCCCUAGCCUGAAGCAGGCUGAUCCAGACUUUGACCUUGCUGCCACUAAGAAGGAGAUUACCUAGGGUGGAGCCUUCGGACCUAGAUGGCUCUUUUGUUCUAUCACCUGCCACUGCUCUCUCCAAGACACUGCUACCUGCUGAGAGGCCCUUGAGAUAUUCCAGAGGAACAUCCUGUUGUGCACAUCACCUACAGGCUGGCUCCAGACACCAAGAACGGACUGGUGGGGAAUGGGCCUUCCCCCUUAUAAGCAUACUCUCUUAGUAAACUGGUGGGCCUUGAAC